rnacentral:lncRNA from 1 species
UGUGUGACCAAGAUCGGAUGGCCCUGAUUCGAACACACGCCAAUCCAAUAGCUCGUGCGAUAAACAACCCAAAUCUAUUUUGUUGCGGUCCGACGGCCAAGAAAUUUAACAGUCGGAUGCGUAAGGAUUUGAAAUAGACAACUAGGAUUCUCAUGAUGGGGGAAAGGACCGAUCUGCCCUUAAUCAAGGGCAUUUGGAUAACUCUCCACAUGUCAUGUCACCUCAAUCAAACAACUAAGAUUCUUUAGGAAGGAGUAUUUAAACCCAUCAUCUGUCAACUCCUAAAACCCUAACCGACAGAGAGGAGGAGAAAGGGGAAGAGAACAACACUAGGAGAAGGAAGCACACAGCGGAGUGAGGCGGCACCAUCGUUCUAGAGACAUAAAUUGAUGCCACUAAGCUCGAUUUUUCCUUUUUUCUUCUCCAUAUUCUUUAUUUUAGCUAAACCCAUGAUAUUGUUAGAAAAUGACAAAACUGGUAGGAAACAGCAUGAUAAUGGCCGAUGGCCAUGAGAGGCAGAGCUCU